rnacentral:rRNA from 1 species
GACGAACGCUGGCGGCGUGCUUAACACAUGCAAGUCGAACGGUGAAGCGCCUUCCUUUUUGGUGGGUGUGGAUGAGUGGCGAACGGGUGAGUAACACGUGAGUAACCUGCCCCCUUCUUCUGGAUAACCGCAUGAAAGUGUGGCUAAUACGGGAUAUUCUGGGUCUGUCGCAUGAUGGGUCUGGGAAAGAUAUUGUUUCGGUGGGGGAUGGGCUCGCGGCCUAUCAGCUUGUUGGUGGGGUGAUGGCCUACCAAGGCGGUGACGGGUAGCCGGCCUGAGAGGGUGGACGGUCACACUGGGACUGAGACACGGCCCAGACUCCUACGGGAGGCAGCAGUGGGGAAUAGUGCACAAUGGGCGCAAGCCUGAUGCAGCGACGCCGCGUGAGGGAUGGAGGCCUUCGGGUUGUGAACCUCUUUCGCCAGUGAAGCAGGCCUGCCUCGUUUGUGGGUGGGUUGACGGUAGCUGGAUAAGAAGCGCCGGCUAACUACGU